rnacentral:lncRNA from 1 species
GCGAAUCCAAACCCAUUCAGUUCGUCAGUUAUCAGGUCAGAAAACCUUCCGGAAAGCCCAAAGGCGAGCUGAAUUUGUCCUACAAGUUUGGCGAAAAAUCCAUGUCCCAGUCGGCGACGAAGGCUCAAGAGCCCGUUAUGGCUUACCCUCCGGCCGCAUCGGUGGUGCCCAAGGCCGAUGAGCCGGUCACGGCAUAUCCUGCCGGCGUAGCGGCCUCCAGUUCGGCCUACCCGCCGGUUGGGGCGUAUCCUCCGCCACCGGCUGGAUAUGGGUAUCCGCCACAGCAGCCCCCUCCGCCUGGGUAUGGAUAUCCACCACCUCCGGCGCCGGCGGGAUAUGGGUAUCCACCACCACAGGCGGGAUACGGAUAUCCACCGCAGCAAGGGUACGGGUACCAGCCGGCGGUGCAAAAGCCGGCAAAGAAGAGCAAGUUUGGACUAGGGAUGGGGGCUGGGCUGUUGGGAGGAGUGGUUGGUGGGCUUUUGAUCGGUGAUUUGGUUUCCGAUGCAGCUGGUGGUGGCUUC